UUCUGUGAUAAUUAAGUUGGUUGCAGAGGCGAACAAGUUCUCUUUGACACCCGAGAAGAGCAGUUACAAUGCCAGAUAUUCAGUUAGGAGGUCAAUCAUUGAGAUCCCAUGGGGCUAAACUUGCAAGGUUCCACAUGCAUGACUAGGUCAUCCUCAUCCUCCUCGCGAUAGUAGAUGGAUGUCUAAAUCUCAUCGAACCUUUCCAUCGGUUUGUGGCACAAGACAUGAUGACAGAUUUUAUGUACCCAUUGAAGAAGAACACAGUGCCGUUUUGGGCUGUUCCUAUACUCGCAGUUCU